GACGAACGCUGGCGGCGUGCUUAACACAUGCAAGUCGAACGAAGUGGCGAACGGGUGAGUAACGCGUAAUUAACCUGCCCUUCAGAGGGGGACAACAGUUGGAAACGACUGCUAAUACCGCAUACUGAAGGAGGGGAUUGCGUCUGAUUCGCUAGUUGGAGGGGUAACGGCCAACCAAGGCGAUGAUCAGUAGCCGGUCUGUGAGGAUGAACGGCCACAUUGGGACGUAGACACGGCCCAGACUCCUACGGGAGGCAGCAGUGGGGAAUCUUCCGCGAUGGACGAAAGUCUGACGGCGCAACGCCGCGGGAGUGAUGACGGCCUUCGUGUUGUAAAGCGCUGUUAAUCGGGACGCGUUACCGGAAUAGAAAGCCACGGCUAACUACGUGCCAGCCGCCGCGGUAAUUC
rnacentral:rRNA from 1 species